GGGAUGCUAACAGCUUACAGCAACUGUCCCGAAAACAUAAAGCAGCAAUGAGUGAAAGCACAUAGAAUGGAGUGUUCUGGGUGGCGGAGCACCCGCUGGUAGGAAGUGAAUCAGUGUUGAUCAAAGGGAAAGGACAGUCAAGGUGGUCGUAGGUCCACAGCUCCACUGGAUCAUUUUUGGCUUUGGAGCUGGGCAGUGUCAGCCUUCACUGAGAUGCAGAAACACCUAUUUGUUCUGACAGCCCCUUCUGCUGCUCAUCUGAAUUUCAUAGUAUGGGCUCCAGGCUGUGCCAGCACACACUUCCAGAUACAGGAGAGCAUCACCAAACCCAGAAAUGCAACACACCUUCUGCUAGUUUAUCUUCUCCUUCUACCCAGCACACGGUCAUUUGGAAUGUGAAUACAGCACAAGAGAUGAAAUAUUAAUUCGGCCAUGAUAUA